UAAAAAUAUUAUGCCUGCAUCGAGUUCCCUAACCUUCUUAUUAUAUUGACCAUGCAUGUACUGAUAUGAGAAAGCUUUUAAAAGCUUCGCGUUCAACGACAAACGACAAACGUCUGCAGGCAAAGAAAAAUUUUACGCUUUAAAGCAAUAAAAAGUAAACGGGCUUGUUGUUUUAAAACUAGAAUGCUUAACUAUUCUUGUGUCAUACGUAAGAAAAUAUGACACACAGAAAUCGAACAAAAAUUACGCCAAGAAAAUUCGGCCUUUCCGUUUGCCGUUCCCGCAAACGUGAAGCUUAAACUCCCUAUACGUGACCUCAUUAUCCGCGGUGGCGCAGUCGUCAGAGCAAGCGCCUUAAUUUCACCUCUGAUCUUAGUUGAACACUGAUAUCUCGUGUUGAACACUGAUAUCUCACUCGUUCGCUGCGCUCACUCGUGAGAUAUCAUGUUCAACACUCGAAAUAAAUCUGGUAUUUCCGCGCAGCCAUGUAUUAUUCUCUAUAUAUCUGCCGAAAGUCGUUUUCUUCGGGUACUCUGGUUUCCUCCCACAGGG